AUCUGUACAUUCGUUUUGAAUCUAAAAAUAUGUUUAUACAUCGAUUAAAUCACGUUUUAAAAUCAGGGAACUUGUUACAUAUUUACAAAAUAGUUCGGAGGAGAUGGUACCAGAGAGAAAUUUUCUCUCUGAUAAUACACCAUAAUACACUUAUAAUCGGGACGUAAAAUUAGGAGGUUGGAGGUUAGACGCGAAUCUACCUUCCCGCGAAAGAUAGAAUUUGAAUUCUGACUAAUUAGUCAAUUGCAUGAGAUAGAAAUUAGAAAUUACAAUGCGUUCAGCGAGACAAACACGAAGAACUAAAAAAACAGAAGCAGUACAAAUUAAUUACAAGUCUACAGUGUAUUUUAAGCUCAAGAAGUUUUUGAUCAGUACAUAUGAUUAAACUCAUACAAUACAGUUGUAAUCAUGGCAUCGCUCAUGACACACAUGUAAAAAUAUAAAAAAAUACAAGAUGAA